AACGUACGCUGGCGGCACGCCUAACACAUGCAAGUCGAACGAAGUAGCAAUACUUAGUGGCAGACGGGUGAGUAACAUGUAGGUAUCUGCCCUUUGGCCUGGAAUAACACGAGGAAACUUGUGCUAAUACCGGAUAAGUCUUUACGGAGAAAGCUUUAUGCACCAUUGGAUGAGCCUGCACUUGAUUAGUUUGUUGGUGGGGUAAUGGCCUACCAAGACUGUGAUCAAUAGCUGAUUUGAGAGGAUGAUCAGCCACAUUGGGACUGAGACACGGCCCAAACUCCUACGGGAGGCAGCAGUGGGGAAUCUUGCACAAUGGAGGAAACUCUGAUGCAGCGAUGCCGCGUGAGUGAAGAAGGCCUUUGGGUUGUAAAGCUCUUUCGUCGGGGAAGAAAAUGACUGUACCCGAAUAAGAAGGUCCGGCUAACUUCGUGCCAGCAGCCGCGGUAAUACGAAGGGACCUAGCGUAGUUCGGAAUUACUGGGCUUAAAGAGUUCGUAGGUGGUUGAAAAAGUUAGUGGUGAAAUCCCAGAGCUUAACUCUGGAACUGCCAUUAAAACUUUUCAGCUAGAGUAUGAUAGAGGAAAGCAGAAUUUCUAGUGUAGAGGUGAAAUUCGUAGAUAUUAGAAAGAAUACCAAUUGCGAAGGCAGCUUUCUGGAUCAUUACUGACACUGAGGAACGAAAGCAUGGGUAGCGAAGAGGAUUAGAUACCCUCGUAGUCCAUGCCGUAAACGAUGUGUGUUAGACGUUGGAAAUUUAUUUUCAGUGUCGCAGGGAAACCGAUAAACACACCGCCUGGGGAGUACGACCGCAAGGUUAAAACUCAAAUGAAUUGACGGGGACCCGCACAAGUAGUGGAGCAUGUGGUUUAAUUCGAAGAUACGCGCAGAACCUUACCAACACUUGACAUGUUCGUCGCGACUCUAAGAGAUUAGAGUUUUCGGUUCGGCCGGACGAAACACAGGUGCUGCAUGGCUGUCGUCAGCUCGUGUCGUGAGAUGUUGGGUUAAGUCCCGCAACGAGCGCAACCCUCACUUUUAGUUGCCAUCAUUAAGUUGGGCACUCUGAAAGAACUGCCAGUGAUAAGCUGGAGGAAGGUGGGGAUGACGUCAAGUCCUCAUGGCCCUUACGUGUUGGGCUACACACGUGCUACAAUGGUAUCUACAACAGGAAGCAAAACUGCGAAGUUAAGCAAAUCCCUAAAAGAUACCUCAGUUCGGAUUGCACUCUGCAACUCGAGUGCAUGAAGCUGGAAUUACUAGUAAUCGUGGAUCAGCGUGCCACGGUGAAUGCGUUCCCGGGUCU
rnacentral:rRNA from 1 species